GACGAACGCUGGCGGCGUGCUUAACACAUGCCAGUCGAACGCUGAAGCUUGGUGCUUGCACUGGGUGGAUGAGUGGCGAACGGGUGAGUAAUACGUGAGUAACCUGCCCUUGACUCUGGGAUAAGCCUGGGAAACUGGGUCUAAUACUGGAUACGACAUGUCACCGCAUGGUGGUGUGUGGAAAGGGUUUUACUGGUUUUGGAUGGGCUCACGGCCUAUCAGCUUGUUGGUGGGGUAAUGGCUCACCAAGGCGACGACGGGUAGCCGGCCUGAGAGGGUGACCGGCCACACUGGGACUGAGACACGGCCCAGACUCCUACGGGAGGCAGCAGUGGGGAAUAUUGCACAAUGGGCGGAAGCCUGAUGCAGCGACGCCGCGUGAGGGAUGACGGCCUUCGGGUUGUAAACCUCUUUCAGCACGGAAGAAGCGAAAGUGACGGUACGUGCAGAAGAAGCGCCGGCUAGCUACGUG
rnacentral:rRNA from 1 species